UCCUGCUUUGCAGAAAGAAGAAAAACAAAAAGAACUGAAGCCCACAGAGGCUGUAAGUGACUUGCUUGAUUGUGCGUAAUUAGUAGGUGGCUCAGCUGGGAUCAAAUCUCAAGAAGAAAUGUGCUAAAUGGUGUGAGUCAACUCCGUGAAAGACAUGCCUCAAGGGCCACCUCUCCAUUUGAGUCCCGUAAAAUAUGCCAUACUGAUUUAACUGGAUAUCUCUGAAAAGCUCAGGAGACUUUAUGCUACAAUGAAUUGCAACUAGAGGUCUCUGUGCAAGUGAAGUUCAGAUCAGCAAAUGAAUGAAAUUCAAAUUAGGAAUGGAUUGUCAUGAGAGAGAAAGUCAACUUUCGAAAGAGCAUGUUUUUCUGCACUUAUUUUGACUGAAGCAGGUGGACAUCUGUUUUGUUUCUGAAAUGACUCAACUCUUUUGUCUGCUACUGUCACCAGGU